GAAUACAUUAACAACCGAAAAGUUGUGUGCAUUUGUUCUCGGUGAGCAUCGUAGCCGUAGCCGUAGCCGUAGCCGUAGCCGUAUCCGUAUCUUUUCCUGUGCUCUGUGGCACUCACUCUCUGUGUGGAUUCUCGCUGUGACGCCUGCGCAGCAAGCAGCAAGUGGCAAGCGGCAAGUGGCAAGCAGCCAGAGUCGGCCCGGAGUGAAAUAAUUCUAAUUGGAUACCAAAACGGACACACAGGACAGGAAACGGAAGUUGGCUGCCAUUUGCAGAGCCACUUGGCCAAGAACCUGUCCAUGGAUUUAUGAGACUGUGCAGCAGAGAGCCGCUCCAUGAGGAGAUCCGUC